rnacentral:rRNA from 1 species
CCCUUAGACGUUCUGGGCCGCACGCGCGCUACACUGACGAAGGCAACGAGCUUUCCUUUACCGAAAGGUACGGGUAAUCUUUUGAAACUUCGUCGUACUGGGGAUAGAUCCUUGCAAUUUUUGAUCUUAAACGAGGAAUGCCUAGUAAGCGCAAGUCAUCAACUUGCGUUGAUUACGUCCCUGCCCUUUGUACACACCGUCCGUCGCUACUACCGAUUGAAUGGUUUAGUGAGGCCUUCGGAUCCGCGACUCGUUUUGUGGAGAAGUUGGACAAACUCAGUCAUUUAGAGGAAGUAAAAGUCGUAACA